rnacentral:lncRNA from 1 species
UGGGGAUCCAACCUGUAACCUGAUGCUGCAGAAAUGCCACCAAUCCCAUUGUGCCACAGCAGGGACUCCAACAUGGUCCAUCAGAGCAAGUUAUGAUAGCAAUUUGAAAUAAUUUGACUUAAGGGUUUUAAAUUCCAAUAUACAUAUGCUAAGUGUUUUAUCAAAAAAUUAGGAGUUCCCGUAGUGGCGCAGUGGUUAACGAAUCCGACUAGGAACCAUGAGGUUGCGGGUUCGAUCCCUGGCCUUGCUCAGUGGGUUAACGAUCUGGCGUUGCUGUGAGCUGUGGUGUAGGUCGCAGACGCGGCCUGGAUCCCGCGUUGCUGUGGCUCUGGCGUAGGCCGGCGGCUACAGCUCCAAUUAGACCCCUAGCCUGGGAACCUCCAUAUGCCACANNNNNNNNNNNNNNNNNNNNNNNNNNNNNNNNNNNNNNNNNNNNAAAAAAAAAAAAAAAAUUAAAUCAUACAAAAGAGUGGAGGAGUUCUCUUGGGACACAGCAGGUUAAGGAUCCACCAUUGUCACUGCAGUGGCUUGGGUUGCUAUUGUGGUGCAGAUUCAGUCCUUGGCCCAGGAACUUCCCAUGAGCCUCAGGUACAGCCCAAACAACAGCAACAACAAAUCCCCCAAAACAAAAAACCCCACAAACAGCCAUUGGAAAGGACUGACUUAUUUGAAAUGUAAAUCCUUGAUUUUCACAUUUUAUAGAAUUUUUUAGUUACAGGUGGGGUAUUACAAAAUAUUUAAUAGGCUUAAAAUAGGCACAUUAAAAGAGAACAGGCACUUGUAAGAAUGGACUGGUGGUUAGAGAGCUUUUUAAAUAAAAGGGGUAAAUUUAUUUGUUCUGAGGUGGGAAUCUGGCCAAAGUAAAAACAAACAAACAAACAAACCCAAAAAGCAAAAAAGAAAGAAAAGAAAGGAAGAGAAAGAAAAACGUGCUUUCAUCUAUUUCUGUGCAUAGCCAUGGUAAAUAUCAGAAAGACUCUUUGGUAAAUAGGACCCUGUGGGUGGACUUAGGAGAUUAUUAUAAAUAUAUUCUGUACUGUUUGAUCAUUUUUCAAUGAGUGUGUAUUAAUACAUAGGUAUUAAAAGACACAUAUACGCACACGUAUAUUUUAAGGGAGUGUGUAUGUAUUUUAAAGGGAAUAACAUAGAACACAUGUACGCACACGUAUAUUUUAAGGGAGUGUGUAUGUAUUUUAAAGGGAAUAACAUAGAAGAAAGACCACUAAUCCUGACUUUGCUAUUGGCUGUGUGCCCACCAAAAAAAGUAAACAGAUCUGCUUAUUUUACGUGAUUAUGAUGAAAAUCAUUUGAAAUCAUGGGUGUGGAAGGGAAGAUGCACUUUUCUGUUGCUUAAUAAGGAUAGUGACGACUAGAAAAUGUAGCAGCUCUAUUGAGACAAUUAGGCUAAGAGCUUUUCCUACAGGUCUGACCCAUUGCAGAAAGUGGAGAGGUAGGUAGGGCAGGGUCAAGAGAGGAGCCCUGAUUUGAAGUUACUUCUAUUUAUAAUUGUUACUCUGAAAGGACUGAAACUGGGGAGUCACAAAACAUCCGUGUGUUAGACAAGAUUGUAUAUGGUGGAGUCACAAAAAUACAUCAUUAGCCAUUAUUAGCGAGUGGAAAAAUAAUUAGCAAUUAGGUUUUUUCCCUCAUCACGGCUGUAGAGUUUUGGUUUGGGUUUGUCAGUUUUACUUCCUGUAAAUCUGCAUUAACAUUCCCAAUGGUCUGUAUCCUUCAGGAAUAUCAUAACCGCGGCAUCUAGGAAAACAUGAUUAGGGAAAAAAAAGGUACUAGACUGAAAAUUCAUCGAAGUCUCUGAGUUCUCUUCCAGAUUAAUAAUUUUCUGAUAUAAGAUGCCAAUCAGAGAUUGGAAUAGGAUAUACUGCAUAAGCCCCAGGUUGUUUCCAUAAUAGUAAAGGAACGAAUAUUAGCUUGUGGUUAGAGAACAUUACAUGGUUGUUGACGUCUAUUAUUGCUAGUUCUUCCCCGUGUAACUCUCCACAUCAUCUGGUAACACUCGUGCUAUGUCAAAUAGUACCUGAAUAAUAAGUGUCUAUGUCAAUUAAACAUCUCUAUGAAAAACCAUUCAUUGGCAUUUCAGGAUCUUUCGGCGGUACAGUUUCAUAGCAAAAUGAAACUUAUUGUAAAGGCUUUUGACCAGUUUAACUCCUUUCCCUGUUGAAUAGGUAAAGUUAUUCUUUUUUUUUUUUAUUUUAUUUUUUUUUUUGGUCUUUUUGCCAUUUCUUGGGCCGCUUCUGUGGCAUAUGGAGGUUCCCAAGCUAGGGGUCGAAUCAGAGCUGUAGCCGCCGGCCUACACCAGAACCACAGCAACGCAGGAUCCGAGCUGCAUCUGCAACCUAUACUACAGCUCACGGCAAUGCUGGAUCCUUAACCCACUAAGCAAGGCCAGGGAUCGAACCCCCAACCUCAUGGUUCUUAGUCAGAUUCGUUAACCACUGAGCCACGACAGGAACUCCGGUAAAGUUAUUCUCAUUCUUACUUUCUAAGCAAGGUAAUUAGAUACCGAGAGGAAGGUACCAUUUGCUUAAUAUGAUAACCCUUAAUAAAAAUUAAAAGAAUAAAUACAAUCUCUACCAUUCUAAAAAGAGGUAGAAAGGAAGGAAAAGAAAGUUGGAGGAACAGAGGGAGUGAGAGAGUGAGAGAGACUUUCCAGGCUAUCAUAUGAACACUUUGUCAAGUCCGUAUGAGCCCCUUUUAAAUGGAAUAUUUUAAUGUUAAAAAUUGAUUUUAGUUUGUGGUUUUUUUUUUUUAUUCUCCCCAAAUGUUGUUUCUGAUCAGGUUUCAUUUUUGAGUAAUACAUUUUGAAAAUACACGCUCUUGAUUUUUCCCGGUUAGAUUUUGGAGGGUGUGUUUGAGGUCAACACCUUGAAUUCUCUCAGUCUUUCAGAAGUCUCUUCAUAUCCUCCAUUCUUUCCAAAGAAGACAGACAGAUGGCCAAAAAGCACAUGAAAAGAUGCUCAACAUCACUAAUUAUUAGAGAAAUGCAAAUCAAAACUACAAUGAAGUACCACCUCACACCAGUCAGAACGGCCAUCAUCAAAAACUCUUCCAUUGUCAUGUCGUCAUCAUAAAUUUGUUCGACAUGUAUCAUCAAGCUGUACAUAUGUACCAGUUAUUCUUUAGCCUGAAAGCCGUAAUUGGAAAUCAUGUAAAGGUUUUAGCGUUUGGAGUGGAGUUUGAUAAGAAGUCCAAGUCUGAUAAAAAUGGGACAGUUUGCUAUGACAUCUAGAUAUAAUAGCAUCUUCAAGAUAUUUUUUUUUUCUCUAUUUUUGUUGUCUUAUAUCAGGGAGCUUUUCACAGAUACCUAUUCUGUGUUCUUUUCAAUGGAAAUGUAUUAUUGCAGUAACAGCUGACAUCUUUAGUGCUUAUUCUUCCUGCUAAGGACCUUAAGCACAUCAUACUUUGAGGUAGAUUUUUAUUAUUCCCAUUUUGUAGAGGUGGAAACUAAGGCUUAGCGGGUCUGUAUAACUUGUUUGGGUCACAUCGCUUGUGGCAUAACGAGGCUUCAAAUCCACAGCUGUCGGAUUUCAAAACUCAUGCUUUUAGGAGUUCCUGCUAUGGCGCAGUGGGUUAAGGAUCUGGUAUUGCCAUAGUUGUGGCAUAGGUCGCAGCUGUGGCUCAGAUUUUAUCCCUCGCUCAAGAACUUCUAUGUGCCGCAGGUGUGGCUGAAAAAGAAAAAAAAGAAAACAACAACAAAAACAACAAUAAAAAACUCAUGCCUUUAAUCAUAAAGUCAAACUGGAAGCUAUAUAUCUAAAUACAUAGAUAACUGUCAUAUAGAAACAUAAUAUGAAAUAUCCAUUUGUGUUGCUUUUAUUGCAUCGAGUCAUUGACAGGAUUAGCAUAGGGUAAAAUGAAACAUGAUUGCAUGAGGUUGCUAAUGUAAACUACACUCUGAUUCCACACCUACUUGCUUUUGUUUUGGUGACCUGAGGGGGCAAAGGCCCCAGCACAUGUGGAUUCAGGCUGGGAAGGAGUGGCCCUUGCUGUUUCCUAAAAUUUAGAGCUUAUAGGGGCCUUAGGGAGCUAGUCCAACCCAUGACUUUUUACAUUCAAAUCCCUGGAUCACAGUGGAAAUGAUAGUCUAGGAAGAACUUGUUUCUUCCGUUGGAGGAGAGAUGUGUUGGGGAUACCCAGAGGAGCAUGUGAAUUUGAAGAUGUGAGUCCUAGUUUUGGAAAGCUUAAUGCAACACAGUCCUGAUCUCAAUGGUAAAAACUGGGGCAUCUGGGGCUGAAUCCCAAUGACGGCUGUUUCCUUCUGAACAGUUACUAGACAAUACAUCUAGAUUAAUGUUUGUGGCUAAAUUUAGGGUUCUUUUUUUUUCUUCUUCUGAUUUUCCCAAGAUAAUAAGUCUCUGACUUCUAGUGAAUUGAAUUGGGUUAUAAAAAGGAGCUUUCAAUUUCUUCUGUAGCUAUGAUUGCUCUUUCUACUUCCUUAUAUGUUUUCUAGAGAAAGCUCUUUCUGAGCAGUAGCUUUAUCUGUUUUCUUAACCUCAGGAUCCUCAGUGCCUUGAAGCUUAUAAUGGGAGCUCAGUAAACAUAUAGAGAUAAAUAAGUGGUAAAUGCCAAACUUGGUUUAAGGAUGCCUUUACUGAGAACAUGAGACUUGACAGGAAAAUUAGACUCUAAAGAGAUUUUUUUUAAAGAAGAAUAAGUUAGGGAGUUCCCGUCAUGGCUCAGUGGUUAACAAAUCCGACUAGGAACCAUGAGGUUGUGGGUUCCAUCCCUGGCCUUGCUCAGUGGGUUAAGGAUCCCGCGUUGCCGUGAGCUGUGGUGUAGGCUGGCGGCUACAGCUCCAAUUAGACCCCUAGCCUGGGAACCUCCAUAUGCUGUGGGAGUGGCCCUAGAAAAGGCAAAAAGACAAAAAGACAAAAAAAAAAAGAAAAAAUUCAGUAAGUGCUAAAAAAAAGUAAAAUAAAUAAGAUAAAAAAAGAAUAAAUUAAAAUUGUCAAAAAAUAUAGGAUGGAGUGUGUCUUGAAUAAUAUUCUGAGUUUCAAAAACUGAUAAGAUAAUAUGAAUUAUUUUUUAGUUCGCAUUGGAUUUCAGGAUUUCAUUUGCUUUCAUUAUUUAGGCUCUGCAAUUUUGUGGGCAUGUGAUUUUGCUUCAUUAUCAGGUACAAGUAUACUUAUUACAGCAUUUGAUUGUUAACACAGAAUUUUAUACCUAGAACAUCAAAAUUAACAUAUGCAAAUUUUCCCCUUUCCUGUAUACUUUUUAGUGUUUUUAAUUGAUAUUUAGGUGCUACAUUGAGAGAAGCUGAUGUAUGAGCUUCAUUCAGAUAAAAAUGUUGUUGAAACUAUUUAGUAAAUAUAUUUGUUUUAGAUAUUUUUAGCUAGUGGAUUCUAAAUGUUACAUUUCCUAAAUUAAUAAACCAGACACAUGGAUCUGUGGCAUAUUUGUGUUCUGAUGUGGUUUUGAAGAGGAAAUGUUUAACAAUAUACCUAAUAAUUUAUGAAUGUAGGUAACAAAAAAUCUGCCUUAGAUUCGGUUAUUGAACAUUAAUGUACUCAAUGGACGAUUGCCCCUUAAUUGCCGAGCAGGUCUGUGAGUCUCAGAAAUGGAAAAUUAGAAGAAUGUGUUUAUUAAAAUCAUCUAUGGUGCACUGUACUGAAACCACAGUUAUGAAGCAGAAGAAAUUGAUCUAUAAGGACUUUACGAAUAACCAAUGCAUAAAUUAAAACUUCUACCUUUAAUCUAUUAAAUAUUUAAGUAUGUCAAUGAGACAUUUGCAGUCUAAGUGCAUUUUGUGGGGAUUUGGAUAACAAUGUGACUGAGAGUAAGUGUCAACUUUCUGCUAAAACUAUAUUCUCCUUAAUGGUUAAUACCUUGUCACUUUUCCAUCUCCCAUUCCUAGCACACGGUCUGACACAUGAAAAAAGUAAAAACGAAAACAUCCAUCUGCAUUUUUCAGUAAGUGAAUAAAUGAGUAUAUGUGAGCAUAUCUUCAAUCAUGGUAAUAGCGUCAGGAUUUCUAUUUCAUGUAUUUUAAUGAGUCAUUCAGUGAUUAAAUUACAUAUCUCCUUACUACAUAUAAAGUACUGUGAUGGCACUUCAGUGGAAUUUAGAUGACUUAAACAGGGCCCUGCUUUUAAGGAACUUACAAUCAAAAAGGAAAUGUAGGGAGUUCCCGUCGUGGCGCAGUGGUUAACGAAUCCGCCUGGGAACCAUGAGGUUGCGGGUUCAGUCCCUGCGCUUGCUCAGUGGGGUAACGAUCCGGCGUUGCCAUGAGCUGUGGUGCAGGUUGCAGACGCGGCUUGGAUCCCGCGUUGCUGUGGCUCUGGCGUAGGCCAGUGGCUACAGCUCCGAUUCGACCCCUAGCCUGGGAACCUCCAUAUGCCAUGGGAGUGGCCCAAAGAAAUAGCAAAAAGACAAAAAAAAAAAAAAAAA